rnacentral:misc_RNA from 1 species
UUGAUUUCAAAUGGGAUGUGCUGGCCCCCCUUUCAAAGGGGGGGGUAAUGUGCACUCUCAACCUUUACAUAUCCACCUGUGCACCUUUCGUAGACAAAUAGGGGAUUUUACAAUCCCUUGUCUAUGUUUUUUAUAACACAUGAUUUAUUAUGGAUGGUAGUGUGGUUUUUUUUCAAAGCCAAUAAACAUUAUA